UAGCAGCUACAUCACAUCAUUUAUAUUCAGUAAAUUUUACAUAUUUUUUUUAAUAAAAAAAUAUAAGAAAAAUACUAUUUUAAAAUUGUUAAAAUCGGAAUGGCGAAAAAUAGAUCCAGAAAAUAAUUUAAUGCAGGAAAAGAAAAGAUAAGCGGAAAGAACACACUGAUAUUUACGUGGUUCGGCCAACGGCCUACAUCCACGGACGAAAACGGAGCAAAUACUUUAUUAAUAUCGAAAAAAAGGCGUAGUACAAAGAAGAUCUCUCAAAAGAACCAAAAACGCCGCAGCAAACAACUCCAAACAAGUGCUUCUUUCUCAACCCGUACGGACCACAACACCUUGCUGUCUUAAUAAAUUAGGCAUGAGUCGACUCCAAAGUUGGCUUCUCUCUUAGUACCGUAUGGACCACACUUUGUUGGCUUAAUUAAUUAGACUUGGGUCUAAUUAACAUUGCGGCAUCAUUAGAGCUUGCCUCUAAUUAGAGCAAUGCGGUCCGGCUAAUGCUGCUCCCACCGUACGAACGACCACCAAUGAUUUAAUUAAUUUUGCAUGGCUCUUAAUUGGGUCGUGGCGUCAUUAACUUGACCGUAGCAUGUAUAUAUAAUACAUGUCUCAUAAUUAGAGUCUAAUUCUAAUUCAAUUAGAAUUAUACUCCUAAUUAUAAUCUAUAUAUGUCAAAUUAAAUCUAAAUUAUAUAUAAUUCUAAUUAGAUUAGGAUUUAACUCCAAUUUAGAUAACUACAAAUCUAAACCAAAUAUAACAAUCUCCACAUUGAUUUAAUUUGUAGUUUAGCUGCCGUUAUGUCGAGAUCGCCAUAAAACUCCACCUUGAAUUUAAUUCGCCUCAAUGUUCCUUAACACUCCGUGCUCCGUCUUCUCCAAACGCCCCAUAGGGCCUUAAAUGCUGCUAACUGCCACCAAGUCCAAACAAUGCUUGAACUUGGCAAUAGUAAGGGACUUAGUAAGCAUAUCCGUCGGAUUGUCCUCAGUACCAAUUUUCUUAACUGUCAACGUGCGUUUCCCAAUCACAUCCCGAACAAAGUGAAACUUUACAUUGAUGUGCUUUGUCCUCUUAUGAAACAUCUGAUCUUUAGACAAAUGAAUAGCACUUUGACUGUCCAAAUAAACAAUCAUCGGAUCCCAACAAGAAGUAAACUCUCCAAAUAAGCCUCUUAGCCACAUAACUUCCUUCACACCCUCUGUCAUAGCAAUAUAUUUCGCCUCCGUCGUAGAUAAGGUGACAAUAGGUUGUAGUGAAGCUUUUCAACUAACUGCACAUCCGCCAAUAGAGAAUACAUAACCUGAAAGUGAUCUCCUCCUAUCCAAAUCACCUGCAAAAUCCGAAUCAACAUAUCUAACCACACCAUCCUUACACCUCCCAAACUCUAAACAAGUGCUAGUGGUACCUCGUAAGUAUCUCAGAAUCCACUUAACAGCCUGCCAGUGAGCCUUACCAGGAUUGGUCAUAUAUCUGCUAACCAUGCUCACUGCGUAGGAGAUGUCCGGCCGCAUGCAAAUCAUGGCGUACAUGAUGCUCCCGACAGCACUGGAAUAGGGAACAUGUGACAUGUACUCCCGCUCAUCAUCGGACUGCGGUGAUAACUCGGCAGAAAGUCUGAAAUGCGCCGCAAAAGGAGUGCUCACUGGUUUUACGUCUGUCAUCCCGAAACGCUUUAAAAUCUUCUCUAUAUAUGUAACGACCCAGCCCACUAGCAAUAAUAACUCGUUGGGCCCAACCACAGCCCAAAAUGCUUAAGCCCAGUUAUUAUUACUAGUGUCUAAGUCUCUUAUAAACCCAAUGACAACCCCAUUCCCAUCCGAUGUGGGACUAUUGGGGUGUCACAGACUCCCCCCGUUAAGACCCUGACGUCCUCGUCAGUCCAAUCACACACACAGCCCAAGAUCACCAGGCGAUGUGAGACUCGUCUCGCUAGCCUUUGUCAUCCAGACCCUGGCAUAGUCAGCCACCUUGUCUUUCAGACCCUGGCUCAGCCGAGACUCGCCACACAUUUUCGGCUGGUGAACCAGCUUUGAUACCAAAUGUAACGACCCAGCCCACUAGCAAUAAUAACUCGUUGGGCCUAGCCAACAACCCAAAAUGCUUAAGCCCAGUUAUUAUUACUAGCGCAUAGGCCUCAUAUAAACUGAUCGAAAUCAAUAUCCCAUCCGAUGUGGGACUAUUGGGAGCGUUACAAUAUAUUUCUCUUGUGUCAAAUGCAGUAGUCCUGACUUGUUGUCCCUCUUAAUUUCCAUACCAAGGAUUUUCAUAGCAGCACCUAGAUCUUUCAUCUCAAACUCACCCUUAAGUAAAGCCUUCAAUUUAUUUAUCUCAACUAUGUCGCUGGAAGCAAUUAACAUAUCUUCGACAUAGAGCAACAAAUAUAUGAACGAUCCCUUAUCAAGCUUUCUGAAAUACACGCAACUGUCACUCUUGCUUCUGGAGUAUCCGUGACCUGUCAUGAAGGAGUCGAACCGCUUAUACCACUGUCGAGGAGACUGCUUUAAGCCAUAAAGCGAUUUCUUUAACAGGCAAACAUGGUCCUCCUUCCCUUCAACAAUGAAUCCCUCCGGCUGUUUCAUAUAAAUUUGCUCCUCAAGUUCUCCAUGUAGAAAAGCUGUCCUAACAUCAAGCUGCUCAAGAUACAGGUCAUUCAUGGCUACUAACGAUAAAAGAACACGAAUAGAAGUAUGCUUUACGACGGGUGAGAAAAUAUCAUUAAAGUCCACACCUUCUACCUGACUGUAGCCUUUAGCAACUCAACGAGCUUUAUACCUUAUAUCUUCCACGUCGGGGAUUCCGUCAUUUUUCUUGAAGACCCACUUAUAGCCGACAAUUUUCUUGCCUGUAGGGGGUUUUACCAACUCCCAUGUGCGAUUCUUAUUGAGAGACUUCAUCUCCUCAUUCAUCGCCACCAACCACUCUGCAGAACUGGCACCGAAAAUAGCUUGAUUAUAUGUCGAAGGUUCAUCUUAUUCUUCUGUAUCUUGUGCCACUGAAAGAGCGUACGCAACCAUAUCUUCAUAACCAUAUUUCUGCGGUAGUUUGAUCUGUCUCCUCGCUUUGCCUGUAGCAAUGCUCUGCCUCUCAACUUGUGGGGUUUCAGUUACUGAGGUGUCUGCCGACUGAACUUGUUCUGACUGAGAAGAAUCCUGUGACUGAACUAUACCAUCGGUCUCUACCUCCACUGCUUGCUAGCACUCGAGGUCUCAUCAGAAGAAUUACGGUUAGGAUAUAACAUAGUAGAUUCAUCAAAUGUGACAUCCCUACUAAUAAUUAAUUUAGACGAUUCAGGACACCACAAUCUAUAUCCCUUAACCCCUGAUGCAUAACCAAUAAAAAUGCACUUUUUAGCCAUAGGUUCUAACUUGCCUUCAUUAACAUGAACAUAAGCAGGACAACCAAAUAUUCGCAAAUUAGAAUAAUCAGAAGGGCUACCAGACCAUACCUCCUCCAGAGUUUGGCAAUCAAGUGCUGAAUGUGGAGAUCGAUUCACCAGAUAACAUGCCGUAGAGAUCGCCUCUGCCCAGAAACUCUUAGCUAAGCCAGCAUUAGAGAGCAUACAACGAGCCCUCUCCAAAAGAGUUCUAUUCAUCCGUUCGACCACCCAAUUCUGCUGUGGAGUAUGCCUGACGGUCUUAUGUCGAACGAUCCCUUCAUUCUUGCAUAAUUCUUCAAACUCUGACGAGCAGAAUUCCAAACCAUUAUCGGUCCUUAAUCGUUUGAUCUUCUUUUCAGUUUGUUUCGCAAUCAUGACCUUCCACUGCUUGAAAUAAUUGAACACCUUGUCCUUACUUUUCAGAAAGAACGCCCACACUUUACGAGAAUAGUCGUCAAUAAAAGUCAACAUAUAUCUAGCACCACCAUGAGUAGGAGUACGAGAAGGUCCCCAAAGAUCAGAAUGAAUGUAGUCCAGAGUACCUUUUGUUCGGUGAACUGCGGCCUUAAAGCUGACUCUCUUUUGUUUGCCAAGAACACAAUGCUUGCAGAAGUCCAACUUUUCUAAACUCUGACUACCAAGUAAACCUCUCUCGCGCAACUUCAUCAUAUCAUAUUUACUCAUAUGGCCCAGUCGCAUAUGCCAGAAUUUGGUGCUAUCCGAAUCUAACAUAGAGGAAGAAGUCACCACUGCUGUACCUGUCACAAUGGAACCCUGUAGAACAUAUAACAUGUCAGACAACUUGGCCUUCAUCACUACAAGAUUCCCUUUAGCGACUUUCAUUAAUCCAUCAGCUGAAGAAUACUUAAAGCCUUUAGUAUCAAGUGUACCCAAUGAGAUCAGAUUUUUCCUCAUAUUCGGAACAUGCCGAACCUCAGAUAUAGUCCUCACUAUUCCAUCGAACAUUUGUACCCGAACAGUGCCAAUUCCAAUAACUGUGCACUUAGAGUGAUUUCCCAUCAAUACAUCUCCACCUUCAAUAGGUAUGUACGUCGAGAACCAUUCUCUAUGCGUGCAGAUAUGGAAAGAAUAUGUGGAGUCCAUAAGCCACUCAUCCUGUCUGCGUGCCUUAUCCGUAACUGUGAAGACGAUAUCACUUNUUUUAUCUGAUUCUCCUGCUGCAACACUUGCUUCUGCUUCAGUAUUGGUGUUUUUCUGACCUUGAUUCUUAUCACCGUUAUUCUUCCGCUGCUCUUUAUUUUUCAACUUGAAACAAUCAGCUUUUAUGUGACCCUUCUUCUUACAAUAACCACAAAUCAGAUUCCUGUGCUUUGACUUUGAUCUAGAUGUACCUCUAUUACCGGAACCCUUCUCCCGAGACCUCCCUCUAGCGACCAAACCUUGUCCUGAAGCUCCACCUGUCUCGUUGCUUAUCUGCAUGUCAAUUCUCUCUUUUGAAAGUAAAGAGGAUUUAACAUCAUCGAGACAUAGAGUAUCUCGUCCAAACAAGAAAGUCUCACGAAAAUUCUUAUAAGAGGGCGGUAGAGAACAUAAUAAUAAAAGGGCUUCAUCUUCCUCCUCGAUUUUAACAUCUAUCGAGCGGAGAUCCAUAAUGAUAGAAUUAAAUUCAUCUAAAUGCGACUUAAUAGAGGUACCUUCCACCAUGCGCAACAUGAAGAGACGUUGCUUCAAAUAUAACUUGUUGGUGAGAGAUUUCGUCAUAUAGAGAGACUUCAAUUUAAGCCAAAGUCCUGCAGCAGUCUUUUCAUCCAAGACCUCGCGCAAUACCUCAUCGGAUAAACAUAAUUGUAUUGCCGUAAGAGCCUUAUCAUCAAUCUCCUCCUUCUGCUCUGUCGUUAACGAAUCGGGCAUCUUUUCUUUUCCCAACAGUGCCUUCUGCAAUCCUUGCUGCGUCAAUACUGCACGCAUCUUGACUUGCCAUAAUGCGAAACUGUUGGUCCUGUCAAAUUUCUGAAUCUCGAACUUCGUCGUCAUCUUAAUCCUCAAAGGGAAUAGAAAGGCUCUGAUACCAGUUUGUUAAAAUCGGAACGACGAAAAAUAGAUCCAGAAAAUAAUUUAAUGCAGAAAACGAAAAGAUAAGCGAAAAGAACACAUCGAUAUUUACGUGGUUCGGCCAACGGCCUACAUCCACGGGCGAAGACGGAGCAAAUAUUUUAUUAAUAUCGAAAAGAAGGCGGAGUACAAAGAAGAUCUCUCAAAAGAACCGAAAAUGCCGCAGCAAACAACUCCAAACAAGUGCUUCUUUCUCAACCCGUACGGACCACAACACGUUGCUGUCUUAAUUAAUUAGGCAUGAGUCGACUCCAAAGUUGGCUUCUCUCUUACUACCGUACGGACCACACUUUGUUGGCUUAAUUAAUUAGACUUGGGUCUAAUUAACAUUGCGGCAUCAUUAGAGCUUGCCUCUAAUUAGAGCAAUGCGCUCCGGCUAAUGCUGCUCUCACCGUACGAACGACCACCAAUGAUUUAAUUAAUUUUGCAUGGCUCUUAAUUGGGUCGCG
rnacentral:lncRNA from 1 species